UAUCUGAGGCCUUCUGAAUGUAAGUAGCUUCUUUCUUUUAUCUCUGUGGCUGUUGUAUUUGAGCAAAUCCUCACUUGCUGCAUCCUGGGACCUUGCUGCUCUGCUAUCAUUGCUGUGCUUUCUGUCACAGUACAGAAAGAAAACACACUUUUUCUUUUAUUUCGAGCUUCCUGAUGCGUCAGCUGCUCCUUUCCAUCUUGAUGUGCUGUGCUCCCAUCCCCACAUCUCAGCACAUGUAUCCUUGGGAGCUGUGAGCUGCAGGGACCUGUGUGGGUCCUGGGAAGUAUCCUCUGGGCUCUGGUUUGCAUUGGUUAAGCCCACUCCCUGUUAUUUUGUUCUGGUUGUGCUCAUCCACUCAACACCAGGUUCAGGAGUGUUUUAGCUCUCAUGCCACCAGCACUGUGCAUCACUCAGAGCAUCCCACUGAUGGCUUCUCUACAAGGAUGGGGCAUGGGGGCCAUAGAAACAUCCCUGCUGCAAUCAGUGCUGCAACGCACGGCUGCUUGGGUGCAUGGAAGCACUGAGGUGUGGUGAUGGAGCUCUCAGGGGAGGUGCUGGAGAGGAACCAGGCACCUGCAAUUUCUAUUUACUUUCAUAUAAGGUUUGCACUGAGCCUCCUGGAAAAGCCCUUCCCCUCUGCUCUCUGCCUCCAUUUUGCAGCUCAGCUGUCCCCAAAAUCACCGUGCAGCCGCAGUGUGCAGCUGCAGCCACGUCCCCCAUUGCAGCAGAGCAUGAAGGAGAAGCAUGCAGCAUCAUCCUUCCUGCUGCCCACCUCCCUGCUUGGAUAGAACAGGCUUUAAAUCCUCGUCCCCCCCCUCCUCACAGCUCCUCUGUGCAGGAGCCCCAAGCAGAGAUCCCACACUCCUCCCUGCUUUGUGAAGGUCACUCCUGCCCUGUGCUCCUCAGACGUGCUGAGUCUCCACCUCAUUUCCUAUGCAUUGAACUUCCCAGACCUGCAGGACUCUCCGACAGCAAGGCGUGAGGAUUUGACCAUUAUUUUUCUCUUGCUUUCCCCUUGCAUCUCUCUCUCUCUCUCUCUCCAAGAGAGGAUUAUGGGUUGCACCUAUUAAUUUUAGUCCUGAAGCAGCAAGUGGAACUUUGCUGAGUGUUUUACAACCUGCUUUCUCCCAAAUCCCUUCUCUGUGCCCUUCCUGGGAGCGAAGCAAGGAGAAAGCGCCGGAGGGUCGUGCUGCAUCUGCACCCAUGGGUGAGGAUGCAAAGGGAUCCUGAAGCAAUUCAUCACCCUCGUUGUGUUUGCAUUUGCAAAACUGCAGCACUGCAACUUGACAGCAGCAGCCAAACCUCCUACCCGUCCACUUCCACACGUGCACAAGGAGAAAGGCAAGGAAAGGCCACAGGUUGGUUUGGCUUCUGGUGCGCCUUGCUGCAGAAAGCAGGCAGCGAUGCCCCCCCAGAUGCUACACUUGCUUUUUGGGGGGAUAUCAGAUACGAUUUCAGCUGUGAUUAAAAUGUGUGGUGUGAGGUGGGGAUGUCAUAAACCCAGUGGUGAUAGAUUGAUUUCAAUCCUAGACUUUUACACCCUGAGUCCUGAGCUGCUCCAGCAGCGAGCACAGCCAUGCAGGGAAGGUUUUAUGGAGCAUAAAGGCACAGGCUGCCGUAAAACUGGGGAGUGGGAGGGAAGCCAGCCCUGUUUAGGAGGCAGCGUGGGCAUGAAUGCGUGGUGCUAUGGGGGAGAUUUCCAGCAGUGCUUUGGCAAACAAAAACGGGCACUGCCACUGUCAAAUUUGGGCCAGUUUCAGCCAUAACCGAGAUGCAGAGCAGUCGCCCUGGAAGUGGUGUUCAGUGGGUUUUAAUUGAUUUCGUUCUUUUUACUAUAAAUAACCAAAAGACUUGAGCCUAAAUGGGCAAACCAUGGUAUUGAUGGCCUGUAACAGACACAAGAUGAAUUGAACCCUCCAUCCGCCAGCAUCCCGCUUGCAACGGGAGAUGCGCCGACGCCGUAAAUUCCCGAGGACAGGAUUGCUAUGCAACAGCAUAAUACAUCUUCUAUUCAAUCUUUUAUACAUUAUGUUUUGUCCUGCAGUUCGGUCGAAAUAUUUAUGGACUGGGAGAUGCUCUUUGAAGAAGUAUUGGCCCUUAGGGCUCUUCCUGCUGGCUGUGCUCGGUGGCCUUGGGUUAUUCGAAGGGCUCUGCUGUCUGGGAUAGCAAUUGGAGGAUGCAAAACUGCUAAUAGUCAACAUCCAUUGGUUUGGGUUUGGUUUCUGACCCUGAGGAUGCCUGGAGCAAUCAGCUUGCCUCUCUGCUCCUUUGUUUCCCCUCUUCCACCCUCCUAGAAAAGAGAUGCGUGGUGCACAAUGCUGGGGCAGCAGCGUGUCUGCAGUGCAUGGCUGGCGGGGGAUUUGCAAGCUGAUUUUUGCUGGAUUUCUUCAAUGGGAAAAGCACCAAGGAAAUGCACUUUAAAUAGGUCUGCCUGGUAACAGCAGUGCCCAGUUGGCCGUGGGAGCUGGCGGCGCUUGCGGUGCGUUUUGCGUCGGUGCAAAUCCAGCACGACUUGUUCUGCUGGAGCAUCUCAGCUGUGCAUCCCAUGCGUUUCAGCAGCUGCUGGGCUCUGUGGCCUUGGGCAAGCUGCACCAAGGAGAGGGAGCAGCGAGCGGAGAGCUUGGAACCCAUCUCCCUGCCUUCUGGAGAGGGCUUUAUCUCAUUAAAACAAACGAGCAGAUGACUGCUGCCUGUGUCGGCAGGGGGACUGCGCUUCAUGAUUACACUUUAUAAACCCCAAGCUGUUUACUGCCUUAGCAGAUAAGUUGAGCUUUUAAGAGGAGGAGAUACAGUCUGGGGUUUGCACAUUUAAUAGACUCCUUGCGUGUGCAUGUGGCUGUGUGAUAACACCCCGAGCCCAACUGCACGUGAGGCUGCAGCAUUGCAGGGCUUCGCUUCCAGGGCUGCUUUCCUCGCCACCAGAUGUAAUGGAUGCGCAGAACGUAAAGCACAUCUUAAUCAAUGUGAGAGAUUCUGCUUAAAACCCAAUGAUUUUGAUCUGGAGCCUGACAGCGCGGUAAUUUAUAUGCAGCGCAGCAUAACCAAAGAGCUUGUUAUGCAAACACAGACCACUGAUUUGACAAAUCUCCUGGAAACGGAAUUAAUGUCUGUAUUCUGUGAAAAGAUGUAAUUUAUUUUAAUAUUUUAAAGAGGGAAAAUUAUAUAUGCAUAUGUAUAAAUAGAGCUAAACAGGAAUAAACACAUAUGCAGAUA